AAUGAAUCCUACGAGUCGCGUCACUUGGGCCCUGCUUGUCGUUACCUUUCCUUACUCCGAAGCGUCCAACUUUCCUGAGGCGAAACCUUAUUUGUCGGACCAUCAAGAUGCCUGGAGGGCUAUGGCACAAAAUCGCCCCUUCGUAAUGUACCAGCGUUCAUUCGAGCAGGACCCUUCAUUUUUCGGAGACCAGAAGUGUAUACAAGGCAUCAUGGUGGAGUUCUACCCGGAAGAAAAAUAUGCCGUAGGCGUUAUUCAUUGGCGUCCCUCGGAGGACAAAAAAGUCAAUGAAACUGCCUACCUUUUUUCGAAAACUACCGAAGGCUACAGAAUUCCUAACGCGUAUGUGUCGUCACCAAAUAGUGGUAAGUUAUGGCGGAACAGCGUAAUU
rnacentral:lncRNA from 1 species